rnacentral:lncRNA from 1 species
UCCAUGGUGCUGGCCACUUCUCAGCACACUUGUCAGCCUGGAAACAAGAGGCAGACUUUGUUGAAAUACCAAACCAAACGAGAACAGGAAUUUAAAUAUAAUGCUGUGUCUGCUCACAGGCAAAGAAGAGGCAGUAGUUGAAUCCGUAACAGAAAAUUUGGAGUGUGAAGGAGGAAAUAAACCGAACGCAAAGGAGCGUGCAGAUGGGAGCUAAACUACACACGCUUUCUGACGUGGUGCAGGGAAAAUAUACUUUCACAGGGAGGAUAAAGCCACCAGGAAAACUAAGAGCAAGAGACAAGAGUUGGCAAAGGGAGGUUCGCUUUCUCACAGACAGUCACUGCAACUAAUCCCCUCUGAGAAGAUCUUGCCA